AGCGUUCCGAGCGGCCCCUCCCUCGCCCGCGGCGCGGAACCGUGACCAGGGCGAGGGCUGGGCCGGGACCUCGGGCGGUGACAGCGAUACAGUAAUAACUGGCAUGGAGCAGCGGGAGCAAGCCUAGUGCGGACGCCUCGCCGGAGGCUGUCCAGUUAUUCCAGGCUGUCCCCGGGUUCCUCCUGUCUGGCGGGCAGGGCUGGUUAAGAGCACCCCUGGCCGGCGAGCCCACGGGGACCAGAAGCUGGAGCCGAGCAGCCAUGGCCUAUCACAGCUUCCUGGUGGAGCCCAUCAGCUGCCACGCCUGGAACAAGGACCGCACCCAGAUUGCCAUCUGCCCCAACAACCACGAGGUGCACAUCUACGAGAAGAGUGGGAACAAGUGGGUCCAGGUGCACGAGCUCAAGGAGCACAAUGGGCAGGUGACAGGCAUUGACUGGGCCCCUGAGAGUAACCGCAUCGUGACUUGCGGCACAGACCGCAACGCCUACGUGUGGACGCUGAAGGGCCGCACGUGGAAGCCUACCCUUGUCAUCCUGCGCAUCAACCGUGCUGCUCGCUGUGUGCGCUGGGCCCCCCAGGAGAACAAGUUUGCUGUGGGCAGUGGCUCCCGUGUCAUCUCCAUCUGCUAUUUUGAGCAGGAAAAUGACUGGUGGGUGUGCAAGCACAUCAAGAAGCCCAUUCGCUCCACCGUCCUCAGCCUGGACUGGCACCCCAACAACGUGCUCCUGGCCGCCGGCUCCUGCGACUUCAAGUGCCGGAUCUUCUCAGCCUACAUCAAGGAGGUGGAGGAGCGGCCAGCACCCACCCCCUGGGGCUCCAAGAUGCCCUUCGGGGAGCUGAUGUUUGAGUCCAGCAGUAGCUGCGGCUGGGUGCAUGGCGUCUGCUUUUCAGCCAGUGGUAGCCGCGUGGCCUGGGUCAGUCAUGACAGCACCGUGUGCCUGGCUGAUGCCGACAAGAAGAUGGCCGUGGCGACUCUGGCCUCUGAAACGCUACCACUGCUGGCUCUGACCUUCAUCACGGAAAACAGUCUGGUGGCAGCGGUAAGGGGGGACGGGGCAGUCACCGGUGACCGCAGGUCUCCCAGAGAGCCUGGAGAUGCCCAGGCAGCUCUCUGCUUGUCCCCGCUUCUGCUUUCCGUCCUUCUUGUCUCCCUCCCAUCCAUCCAUCCAUCCAUCUUUAUUGGUCAGAAUAGGUUAAGAAAAUCUCCGGUUGCAGUGGCUCCACACGGUAAAUGUGUAUUUCUCGCUCAGUUUGAAUGUCCAGCGUGGGUGCUGGGUGGGGCCUCUGCUCACCGUAGAUGGAGGCUUUGUCUCCGGGGUGAGGCGGGGGAAGUGGAGACCUGGGCCCUGGGUCCUAACCUGUCUGUGUACAUCCUCUUGGCCCAUGCAAGUGACAAGGCCACACCUCACUCAGGAAUGGGUACCUGUAGCGGGAGGACAGUUCUACUGGAUAUUCUACUUGGCCCCCCAUCUAGCAAGCCUCUUUUCAGGCCUCAGCAAACCUACCCUCCCAGAGGGAGAUCAGGCCUGCUUUGCCUAGAGACACGUCCAGCUGUGGGGUCUCUCCCAGAGCAAAUGUAACCGUCCCAGCAGGACGUCCCAGGGGAGUCCCAGACAAGCGCUCUCAGCUAGAAGCUGGCCUUACUGGUGGAGGGGCUGCUCCUAGAUGCUCAGCCCCAACAUCUGGUCCCUCUUACUCUACCUAGGGUGGGUGGCUUUGUUUCUGAGUUGUCGUCCGCUUCCUGGUGCUGCAUCCAGGUUCUGAAUCUGGCCUCUGGGACCCCCAGAUUCAUGGCUGGAUUGCCCCCUACCCCCCGUCCCCCCACUGUGCCUCCCCUUGGGCCCAUCUCCCUUGGUGGAAAACGGGGCGCCGCGCCUGCCCUCGGCCGGCGCUCCAUGGGCACCCCGCCCCGCCACAGGGCCACGACUGCUUCCCGGUGCUGUUUACCUACGACGGCGCCGCGGGGACGCUGAGCUUCGGGGGGCGGCUGGACGUGCCCAAGCAAAGCUCGCAGCGCGGCCUGACGGCCCGCGAGCGCUUCCAGAACCUGGACAAGAAGGCGAGCUCGGAGGGCAGCGCGGCGGCGGGCGCGGGCCUGGACUCGCUGCAUAAGAACAGCGUCAGCCAGAUCUCUGUGCUCAGUGGAGGGAAGGCCAAGUGCUCGCAGUUCUGCACGACGGGCAUGGACGGUGGCAUGAGCAUCUGGGACGUGAAGAGCCUGGAGUCAGCCUUGAAGGACCUCAAGAUCAAAUGACCCGUGAGGCGUCUGCGCCCUCAUCCCAGCUGCUGGGGGAAGAGGGUCGGGAAGGCUAAGGAUCGCUGUGCUGAAUGUUUCUAGGGUACCAGUCCGGGUCCCCACAGAUGCUGCUCCCUGGGGGUGGGGGUGGGAGAGGCUUUUCUUACCUAUUGAAGGAACAGUUGCCUUUUUCUUAAGGAAAUGCUUUCAUUUAUUGUAAAAAAAAAAAAAAAAGUCCCCCAAGCACUCUGCUGGUCACGAACUGCUUCAAACAAGGUGGUAAUAAAAAUGCAGCUGUAGAGA